rnacentral:rRNA from 1 species
UGUCGUGAGAUGUUGGGUUAAGUCCCGCAACGAGCGCAACCCUCGCCUCUAGUUGCCAGCAUUCGGUUGGGCACUCUAGGAGGGACUGCCGGCGACAAGUCGGAGGAAGGUGGGGAUGACGUACAAAUCAUCAUGCCCCUUAUGACCUGGGCUACACACGUGCUACAAUGGGCGGUAACGAAAGGGCUGCGAACCCGCGAGGGGGAGCGAAUCCCAAAAAGCCGCUCUCAGUUCGGAUUGCAGGCUGCAACUCGCCUGCAUGAAGCCGGAAUCGCUAGUAAUCGCGGAUCAGCAUGCCGCGGUGAAUACGUUCCCGGGCCUU